ACAGGGUCAAAUGAAGACUGGAACUUUAAAACAAAGCAUUUAAAAAAACUCAAGAGAAACAGGAAGGAUACGAAGUGCAUUGCGUGUGAUCAGACGAUGUGGCUGACUCCAGCAUGAAGAACUGAAGACCAGACUUUGGAUUGUGGCAACUGAAAAUAGACUGUGAACCUGAGAGGUCCUCAGAGACAUCAAAUGAUUCCAAGGAAAUAAAAUGUACUUGUGUCCUGGGUCACAGUAGACAUGAUUCUGUGAUGGGGCACGUGUCUCAGCGGACAACCAGAAAACCCAACACAGGACCAUUAUGCACCUACCUUCUCCACUAAGGAAAAAAAAAAAAAGGUAAUGCUGUAAAUAUGCUUCCAUUCCAUUAUAUACUUUUUCACUACACAGGACCAGAUAUUUAC